GACGAACGCUGGCGGCGUGCUUAACACAUGCGAGUCGAACGGAAAGGCCCUGCUUUUGUGGGGUGCUCGAGUGGCGAACGGGUGAGUAACACGUGAGUAACCUGCCCUUGACUUUGGGAUAACUUCAGGAAACUGGGGCUAAUACCGGAUAGGAGCUCCUGCUGCAUGGUGGGGGUUGGAAAGUUUCGGCGGUUGGGGAUGGACUCGCGGCUUAUCGGCUUGUUGGUGGGGUAGUGGCUUACCAAGGCUUUGCCGGGUAGCCGGCCUGGGAGGGUGGCCGGCCACAUUGGGACUGAGAUACGGCCCAGACUCCUACGGGAGGCAGCAGUGGGGAAUAUAGCACAAUGGGCGGAAGCCUGAUGCAGCAACGCCGCGUGCGGGAUGACGGCCUUCGGGUUGUAAACCGCUUUCGCCUGUGACGAAGCGUGAGUGACGGUAAUGGGUAAAGAAGCACCGGCUAACUACGUG
rnacentral:rRNA from 1 species